rnacentral:tRNA from 1 species
GGAGAGGUGUCAGAGUGGUCUAAUGUGCACGCUUGGAAAGCGUGUAUACGGAAACGUAUCGGAGGUUCGAAUCCUCUCCUCUCCGCCA